UGUUAUGAAUAUUGUCGUCCCUUAACAUUCACAGUUUUAACUAUUGUGGAUUUGAAUUUUUGCAGAUAUAUUCAUGAACAAUUUGAAUGUUAAUUUUGGGUGUGCUUGGGUUUUCUUGGGCCAUUAUGGGGUCAAAAAAUAAAAGACAGGGACAGUAAAGAAAGAAGGAUUAUAAAGAGAAAACAAAAACAAUACCUAAAGAUUUAAUGGAUGUGUGUUAUCUGAUUAACUUCUGAAGACUGAGUUGUAUAAGACUGAUAUAGUUAAAGUCUUAUGUUCCGAGUAUCCAUGUAAACCUAUUUAGAUAUCUCAGUUUUUGACAGUGGAUGGGCAGUUUUUUAUCAUCAAUUAACAUCUUUCACCUGUGUGGUCUGAAUAUCUAUGUAAAUCUAUGUAGUUUUUGACGAUGAAAGACCAGUUUAUUAUCAUUAUUUAACCUGUCCACUUCGAUUGACACGGAUUUGGCUUUCACUGGUAGCCUGGUAACAUAUAGUCCCAGGUCUUUCUCUGCCUCUGUGGUGGAUAGUGGAGUGUUUCCCAUGUGGUAUUGGUGUGCUGGAUAUCCCUUCACUGGUAGCCUGGUAACAUAUAGUCCCAGGUCUUUCUCUGCCUCUGUGGUGGAUAGUGGAGUGUUUCCCAUGUGGUAUUGGUGUGCUGGAUAUCCCUUCACUGGUAGCCUGGUAACAUAUAGUCCCAGGUCUUUCUCUGCCUCUGUGGUGGAUAGUGGAGUGUUUCCCAUGUGGUAUUGGUGUGCUGGAUAUCCCUUCACUGGUAGCCUGGUAACAUAUAGUCCCAGGUCUUUCUCUGCCUCUGUGGUGGAUAGUGGAGUGUUUCCCAUGUGGUAUUGGUGUGCUGGAUAUCCCCUCCCAAGGUGCAGGACUUCACACUUUUCUUCAUUGAAUUGUAGCAGCCACUUGUUGCUCCACUCCUGUAGCUUGGUGAUGUCUUCUUGUAGGAAAUUCACAGUCAAGGGGUUAAUUUCUCCCCUUCACUUGUG